AGAUUGAACGCUGGCGGCAUGCCUAACACAUGCAAGUCGAACGGGAGUAGCAAUACUCUAGUGGCGGACGGGUGAGGAAUACGUAGGAAUUUGCCCUUAAGUGGGGGAUAACCCGGGGAAACCCGGAUUAAUACCGCAUGACCUCGAAAGAGCAAAGUGGGGGAUCGCAAGACCUCACGCUUUUGGAGAAGCCUACGUCGGAUUAGCUAGUUGGUGAGGUAAUGGCUCACCAAGGCGACGAUCCGUAACUGGUCUGAGAGGAUGAUCAGUCACACCGGAACUGAGACACGGUCCGGACUCCUACGGGAGGCAGCAGUGGGGAAUAGUUGGACAAUGGGCGCAAGGCCUGAUCCAGCAAUGCCGCGUGUGUGAAGAAGGCCUUCGGUUGUAAAGCACUUUAAGUUAGGGAAGAAAAAACGUACGACGUACUAACCUACAACGUGAGUCUUGACGUAACCGACGAGAACGUAAAGCCAACCGGCUAAACUC
rnacentral:rRNA from 1 species